GGCCCAAAGGGAAAUAAAAGUCCAAGAAAAUGAUUAUAUGUAAUGACUCAAGGAUAGACAGCUAAAGACUGGAGGAGGAGACAUUGGGAAAGCUUUCACUUUCAGCUUUUCUCAGCGGAGAUUGGGCUCUGAAAUCGGUAAGCAAAAACAAGUUGCCAAUAAAACCCUCUUGAGUCUUGGGUUUGAAAACCUCUACUAUUUCUAGUAUUUUAACCAGGCAGCAAAUCCUAUGCAUUUUGACACUCACCACCCUACAUUGACUUGCCUCUUCUUCAAACCCCUAGUAGGCUUCUAAACCAACAACCAAAAAGUUGAUAUGAUAUUAGGACCGGCCCCAAAAAAGAGCAUCAGAAAAGGAGGGUAAUCCCCAUCUCCAGUCACCUCUCACAGCGAUCUCCUGCUUAAAGUACUGCUUCAUCGCCUCCAGCUUUUGAAGGAGAAUCAAAAGACAGCUCUAGUUUAUGUUCGAUUUCCAUGCCAUGAAUUGGGUUACAAGGAAGAAAGGGAUGGGGGUUCUAAGAAGAGAGCUGGCUUGCUUAUAUCUUCUUCUUCUGUUGAUAAUGUCACCGUUAGAGACUCCAUGUUAUGCUGUUGGGUAUGGGAAGUUUAGUAGAUUCAAAGGUGGUUCUAGUUCUGAGCUGAAGAACAAUCCUGCCAAGUCUAAUAAUAUCGGUGGCCUGAAAGGAAACGCAGAUAAAUAUGGUAAUGAAAUUCUUGGUGCUGAGAAGAGGAAAGUCUAUACAGGACCAAAUCCUCUACACAACAGAUAAGUUGUUAAUUAUUACAGCUAGUCGUCACCAAGCUUGAAUUCCGUUUCAUUUAUAAGAUUUUUUGUUCGGUUUUCUUUUCUUCUGCUUUCCUUCCUUCUCUGAACAUUUUGAAGCUUUUGCUGGAAAUCUCCACAGUAAAUGUUUCAAGUAGUCUUACAGAUGUAUAUGAGAGUUUAGGGUAUGAGAUUUUGGUUGAGGACAUGUACUUAUAUUUGUUAAAAUUAUAAAAGAAGAAAUUAAUACUCCUUGCAAAU